rnacentral:lncRNA from 1 species
GACACCCCCGCCCCGCCGCUCCCCGCUCCCACCUGGGGGCGGACGCGCCGCCCCCCCCCCGCGGGCCGGGCAGCACCGGGCAGCACCGGGCAGCGGCGGCGGGUGACGCAGCCACCCGGAGCGCACAUAAGGGACGAUGCGGGCGGGGGCGCCGGAGUAGCCGGCACCGUCACCGGCCACCGAUACCGGCGCCGGGCACGGGGGCGGUGGGCGCCCGUCCCCGCCAUCAGCACCGCGGACAGGGGCCCCGGCGGGAGCGGGCCGCCCCCGGGGCGGGGGGGGCGGGGAGCGCCUGCCCCGGGGGUCCCCCUUCUCCCCCCCCGCUGUCUCUGCAGCCCCGCGGGCGAGCGUGCUCGGGCGGCGGAGGCCGCGGACCCCCGGCGGGCAGCGGGAAGGGACGAGGCUGCGCCCGGGCUAGGACCCUCCGGCGGCACCGCGGACCGCGACCGGCGAGGAGAGGGAGUGAGGAAGCAAAGAUCGUGGCUCCAGCCCAAGAAGCCAUGGGAAAUACUCACACUGUCUCCAGUGGGCUCUGCAUUACAGCCUGAGAGACCUAAAAGCCGUGGUGGAAACCAUCUCAGCAUCAGGACCAUUCUGAUUUCUCUGGCACUUGGGGAAAUCAGCUGCAUCCAGGCAAAUGUCAGCACGGCUAUGGGGGAAGCAGAGCUGGAAAAGAGCAAGGCAAGAUGAACUGAGACGUACUGCCAGGGAGCAGCAAGACCAGAGCUGCUCCACAAGGGCAGAUGAGCCACAAGCCGAGGGUGGCCACCGCACAGUCAGGGAACAAGCCCUUAUCGGCAGGGCAGGGACAAGUCAGUGACAGGUCCCAUGAGCAGUGAUCAUCAGGCCAAGGCAAGGCGGCAAGUCAGGUUCCAGGUCAGCAAGGGAAGUGCAAUGAUCAAGUCUGGUCUGACAGGGGUAGAUGAAGCCUCCAGCACCUUCAUAGCUCAAACCAGGACUGAGGUUCUGGGCCUGCAUUUAGAUAGAGCCCCCAGCCCAGGGGUGGAGGCUGGGGGGGGGGGGGGGGGGGGGGGGGUGUGUCUCAGGUGAGGCUGGUCAGGACAAUUAGAGGCAGCUGAUGCACUCAGGGCCCUGGCAGCCAAGUCCACUGGCAUGUCUAGAACAGAGGAAGGCUCCAUGGCCAAAAGAGAAAAAUACAGUACAUCCUAAAGAUGAGAUGACUGAGAGGGGGCCAAUGCCAUAAAGUAAAUGCAUGGUAUGGCUGUGAGAGGGCAGGGCUGAGGCAUCUCCCAGCUGGCAAAGAUCAGCUCUUCUCCCCAGGAGAUCCCUGAAGAGAGCAAGCCUUUCCUCCUGCUGCCGCUCAUCUGCCUUGCCCCCCGAGCACCCCUCGGGGCAGGAGACCCUGUGUGCAGGGGGACUGUGGGGCUGCACGUGGGAAGGGGGGUUGGAUCUGGGGGGCUCCUAGUGCCACAGGGUGGGGUGGAUGUGGUCAGAGAGGUAGUGGGAUGCAGACCAGUGCCAAGAGCGUGACACUCCCGGGAAGGCUGGGCAGAGGCGAGAGCCAGGGCCGAGGAGCAAGCCUCACCUCUCCUUCACGGUUCCUUCCACAGCUGCUGGCUGUCGCUGUCUUUGCCCAUC